AAAUACCAUUUAUAGACGGUCUUUUUAUCAUAUUUCCAGAAGAGCUUUAAUAAAUCUAUGAAAGAACCAAAUUUAUGAUUGUUUUUGUGACAACGAUUCAUGUUUCAGUGGUUCCAUCACAGAAAAUUCAGAGUUGUAGGACUGUCAUGAUGAACAGGAUCUUUACAGGUGGAUGGAAGCUUUGGUUCACGACUGUGUCUGCAGGAUAAUGAGCUUCAGUCUGUCUGUCUGUCUGUGCAGGAGGAGCAGGCAGACAGCUGUCUCAGAGCUCGUCCUAACUUCUUUUACCGUAGGAAGCGAGCCCUCAGGUCCAAGUUCACCGGUGCAGAGUUCACAGCCGGUAACCUUGACGACAGCAGCGACAUCACCGACUCCGACUGAUGGACCAAAAACGCUGUGUACUUUUACUGUAGCAGAGUAUUUCUACUCUGCAGAAUCAGUGCUUUUACUGUAUCCUGCUGAAAUCAGGUGUUGGUCCGGUUCCCUGCUGUUAGAUGAGCGGUGCUGGUUGUGACUCCUUGAAUGAAACCUGACUCAGAUGUUGUGUCUUUUACAGUCACUGUUCAGGCUUCUGUCUGUGUUAAUAAAGCUUGUUCUGAACUCACA